rnacentral:rRNA from 1 species
CCUACGGGAGGCAGCAGUAGGGAAUCUUCCGCAAUGGACGAAAGUCUGACGGAGCAACGCCGCGUGAACGAUGAAGGCCUUCGGGUCGUAAAGUUCUGUUGUUAGGGAAGAACAAGUGCUAGUUGAAUAAGCUGGCACCUUGACGGUACCUAACCAGAAAGCCACGGCUAACUACGUGCCAGCAGCCGCGGUAAUACGUAGGUGGCAAGCGUUGUCCGGAAUUAUUGGGCGUAAAGCGCGCGCAGGCGGUUUCUUAAGUCUGAUGUGAAAGCCCCCGGCUCAACCGGGGAGGGUCAUUGGAAACUGGGAAACUUGAGUGCAGAAGAGGAAAGUGGAAUUCCAAGUGUAGCGGUGAAAUGCGUAGAGAUUUGGAGGAACACCAGUGGCGAAGGCGACUUUCUGGUCUGUAACUGACGCUGAGGCGCGAAAGCGUGGGGAGCAAACAGGAUUAGAUACCCUGGUAGUCCACGCUGUAAACGAUGAGUGCUAAAGUGUUAGAGGGUUUCCGCCUUUAGUGCUGAAGUUAACGCAUUAAGCNCNCGCGNGGNGAGNGNGAGANGAAUANAGAGUUAGUGNGNGNGNGNGCGAGNGNAGAGGAGAG